rnacentral:rRNA from 1 species
GAUGAACGCUAGCGGCAGGCCUAAUACAUGCAAGUCGAACGGGAUCCAGAUCAAAGCUUGCUUUGUUCUGGUGAGAGUGGCGCACGGGUGCGUAACGCGUGAGCAACCUACCCUUGUCAGGGGGAUAGCCCGGCGAAAGUCGGAUUAAUACCGCAUGACAUCAUUGAGAGGCAUCUUUCGAUGAUCAAAGAUUUAUCGGACAAGGAUGGGCUCGCGUGACAUUAGCUAGUUGGUAAGGUAACGGCUUACCAAGGCUGCGAUGUCUAGGGGCUCUGAGAGGAGAAUCCCCCACACUGGUACUGAGACACGGACCAGACUCGUACGGGAGGCAGCAGUAAGGAAUAUUGGUCAAUGGACGGAAGUCUGAACCAGCCAUGCCGCGUGCAGGAAGACGGCCCUAUGGGUUGUAAACUGCUUUUAUACGGGAACAAACGUCGGUACGUGUACCGGUCUGAGUGUACCGUAAGAAUAAGGAUCGGCUAACUCCGUG